UUAAUAUUUACACUGCUUGUCUACAGGAUUUCUCAGGGCAAACAGCAACAGAAGCCAGACAAGAUUUUAUGACCAAAAUGAUGAGACGACUUCAACCCUGCUGGAUGCUGUACAGCUCAACAUCAAGCUUGUGCUUGGAGUGAAACUGCACUCAAUUUUAAAUUACCUCUGAUAAGAAGUAUUUACUAGGAUACUUGUCAACAUGGCUCUGUUUAUAGCAAGAGUGAAAAUUGGUCACGAAGUACUGAAGAAUUACUGUUCCUAGACAGCUGCCUGUGUGCUUUGGUUGCCCAUGGGGAGUCAUGGUGAUCCCCCCACAUAUAAUCAGACGGGAUGCAUACCUCAGGUCUGACUGACAGCAAAGAAGAGAGGAAACAAAUCAUCUCUCCUUUCAGCAUGCAUGAUGGCACACCUGCUGAGAUCAUCCUAGCAAACUAAUCACCUGGCACAGACCUCA